UAAGUAAUAUAGAAAUAGCUUCUACUAAUAAGCUCCAAUGUUUCACAUAUUUUUUUGGUAAAAAUAAAUCUAAAACUGGAAGACUAUAAAAUAGCAGCCAUAUUACUAACUCAUGAGCUUUAAAGUGGACUCGAUCUGACAUUUUACGAGGAGUCCUAGAAACAUCCAUUGAUGGCGUAAAUGUAAGAAGAAUUUUAUCAAUAACAUCAAUAUUAUUACCAAGGUAGAAAUCUUUUUCUGCGUAGCUAUUAUCGAACCACAACUUUAAAAAUUGUCUAACUACUCCAAGAGGGACACAAUGCAUCCAAUCUACGUCAAGGCAUCUAAUAAUAUCAAAGCUGGGUAUAUCGCACAGCGCCGAUCUAUGUUUUAUACCUUUUUCACGUAGGUCAGCAUGAAUAAGUAUUUCUAAAUGAGAUCUGAGGCCUUCUCCAUGGGCGUUGCCAUUAUCAUCAAUUGGGUAGACACGUACGUGACCUUUUCCUUUAGCAAUUUCCUCACCUUCGUGUUUACAUAGACCACAUCCAUAAAUUCCUCGAAAAGUUUUAGACCCUCUUAAUUCCGGCCGUUCAACUGAAUCACAAACGCCCAUUAAAAUUCUACAUUUUUUAUGAAAAGUUGAGCCACCAUAAACAUACUCAAAUCCUUCAUUAAACAGUGAUGCUGAUUCACGUACAAAGGGCUUUAAGUACUCAUUCAUUAUAGGUUUCUUUGAACCUAAAUACACACUUACUAACAUAACUCUUUGUUUACGCUUGUGUGGAUGAAUUUCAUUAAUGGUACAUAAAAUAGGUGUUAUUGAUGUCAUUGAACUUUUGAAGAGUGGAGUUCCAUCAAUACUGAAGUUAACACUGAUCAUACCUUGGAGAUCUUCCGUUGAAUAAUUAUUUUUAUAAAGAUAACCAUCAAGUAUAUCUUCUAAGGCAUACGAACAUUUUUUUUGCCGACGAAUGGGGUAUGACAGAUCUUCAUGGUGAUGCUCACAAAAAUGCUGUAACUGAUACUUUAAUGAUAAGUACAAAAAAACAUUUCCUAAUUGUUUAUUUGUUGAACAAUUUAUUUCGAGUUUACACUCAUCACAAUAUAAACUUUGAUCGUCUUCAACGUCAUUCUCAUUCAAAGAUUGAGUGUUCUCAGCCCCAACGUAAACUCCACAUAAUGGACACAAAUGAUGAAUUUCGAUAGGUAUCGAAUACUCAUUAACAAUUUUCUUGAAAUGAUAUAUUGACGUGAAAGCUAAUGGGGUCUCAAUCAUAGCAUCAAUCAAAUCAGCUAUAUGAGUGAUUAUAGCAUUAUCCAAAUUUUUAGCUAUUUUUGUAGCUAAAAUUAACAGAGUUCUUAUUAGAACGUCGAUAGUAUAGAGUUAUUAUGCUGAGGAGAACCAAUAUAAACGUGAGCAUCAUUGUCACCGGCUAACCUUUCGCUAUUGUCUUCAUCUUCACUUCCGGAAGAAUCAUCUGAUGAAUUUUCGUUGCUAGACGAAUAGUAGUUGUAAUUAUGAUCCAAUACUCAAAAAUUAUUUGCCAAUAAAAUUUUACGUCACCAGUUAAAUUGCAUUAUUAACACAAUAAUCUAUUAUAAACAUCUUGGUCGGAAAAUAUUUUGUGGAAUACAAUUCGUCGAAACGUUGCCCUCAUCAACAGUGUUAUUAAUUAUUGAAGAUAAAGAAGAUUGCUCGAGAGAAUCCAUUUCAAUUUCAUGGUGAUCUUGUACAGCUUGUAGCUCCUGUAAGCAAAAUAACGGCAUGAGAUUCACUGUAAAAACUCCAAGAACUAUGGUGAGUUCAAGUGGGACUAAAAUUUAUGUUAUGAUAAAAAUAUAUCAGAUAAAGAUGAAAGUGUUUUCGGAAUUAAUCUUACGUCAGGCGCAGUGCUUUCUGCUACAUUGUUGUCAUCGGGUGGAUGAUCGGCGCUGUAAAAAAUAUUAUUAGAUUAGAAUAUUUUACUCGCAGAAUGUAGGAAAAUAUAUCAUACCUAACUAAGGAAUUCCUAGAUCGCUCUCUAGCUUUCCAAUAAUUCUUUGUUCUUUUUGGAACUUCAGCAUUACUACCGAAUAAAAGAUAUUUUUUGUAUGGACCACGUUUCUUAGAUGGGGGCAUAAUUUUUAUUGUCCCAUAAUACCAAACUAUUGAAAUUGUAAUAGAAAAAAAAUAGAAUCGAAAAAUUGACAAAACGAAACUGACUGAGCAGUAAAAAAUAUGCAAUCGAACGAACAGUUAAAAUUUAAUAAAAUACAUUGUAAUAUAAACAUUCAGAUGAAAUGGAGUAAGUAUUUUGGUUAUGCAAAUCCACUUGAAAUAAAAUCGUCGGACAUUAAUUUACAUCUCACCUGAAAGAGGGAGCCAAAGUCGCAAGUAAAUUUAUAUAGCAUACGCAGUGAACUAGAAAAAAAAGUAUAGAGUGUUUAUUUCAACGGAUGUCUCUGCAUGGCUUCUAUACCAACUUGUAUUUCAAAGUAAAUAACAUCAAAGUUAUAGAUAAAAUAAAC